AGACAGAGGGGCUGGAUCCUCUCAGGGUGCCACAGAGGAGCAAGGGGAGAGGCGACACCUGCCCAGGUGCUGGGGAUAGCUGGAGACCUCAGCGGGAACUCAUGCUUGCUUAAUACAGGUGCAGACGGAGACAGAGGGAAAGUUACUGGUGUGUCCACACACACACACACACACACACACGCACGCACGCACGCACGCACGCACACGCACACACAGAGGGGGCCUAGCUCCCAGAUCUCAGUCUCACACCACUCUCCAAUGGAAGGGACCGGGGCUGCUGGAGAAAUGGGCUGUUUCAAGACUGGAGUGUGAAACACACCAGAUAAGGCCAAGCAGCUUGAGGGCCAGGAAGUAAAGUGCUCAAAAAACAAAACAAUGGCCCACCUGGCAUGCUCCCUUCCCUCGCCCUCUGCAUUUAAAUGGGAGGCACAUGUGACUCACUCAAAAUAACAUAUGUAGAAUAUUUGAAACCAACAAAACAGCCCCAGCCACUGCAUCAGGGUGACUGACUCAGGAGACCAUCACUUUUUCUCCAUCUUCCAGGCGGCAGUUUUACCACCUUACUGCUGAGAACAACAGAUGUCAGGGAGCAGGAGCAUCUUGAGCUCAGUCAAGAGCACCAAAGUGAAAAGGAAGUUCUCAAAAGGGAAGCAAACUGGAGUGAUGCAGAGGGCAAAGCAAUCAAGUGGCCACUCAGCUGCAGCAGGGAAGAGGACCCUCUGGGUCUCACACCAGCGUCACCUAAGCCAGACACCCAUCAGUGACUGCAGCUCCUGUCUGGGAUGAGGAAGCUUGGGACAGAGGUUCUGGAUUGGGGUAGCUCUUUGGAGACAAAGGGCAGAGUAAAAGUAUCAGGAUGACACAGUCACGAAGAAGGCCCCGAGCCAGGGGCCAACACCCCCCAGAGCCCCCCAGAAACCAGGAGAAAGAGUCCCCAUCCCUGUGUCAGGGGUGAAGUCACAGCCUGGCCGAAGCAAAUGCUGCCCACGAAUCUCAACAAGACCAAAUGGCAGUGAGGAUAGGUGACCAGGAGGACAAGGAUGGCCAGGGACAACUUUCAGACCCCGCCAGGUAUGCCGGGGUGAGGCCAUCUCAGAGGGCCCCUCCUAUGGCUUCACAAGCAGUCCAGUGACCCAGGGGCACAGCUCAGGCCUGCUAGCUUGAGUUGAUCAUCCCUCCGCUGAGGCAGCACAGUGCUCCUGACUGUGUCUGUCAGAAGCAACCUGGCAGGACACCCCAGGUGCCUGCUAUGCAGGUCACAGGAUUCAGAAACUUAUUUGGACAAAAG
rnacentral:lncRNA from 1 species